rnacentral:rRNA from 1 species
AUGAACGCUAGCGGCAGGCCUAAUACAUGCAAGUCGGACGGGAUAGGAGAGCUUGCUUUCCUUGAGAGUGGCGCACGGGUGCGUUAACACGUAUGUAACCUACCUUGUUCAGGGGGAUAGCCUCUCGAAAGAGAGAUUAAGACCGCAUAACAUUAAGUUGUGGCAUCGCAAUUUAAUCAAAUAUUUAUAGGAACAAGAUGGGCAUGCGGAACAUUAGCUAGUUGGUAAGGUAACGGCUUACCAAGGCUACGAUGUUUAGGGGAUCUGAGAGGAUUACCCCCCACACUGGUACUGAGACACGGACCAGACUCCUACGGGAGGCAGCAGUAAGGAAUAUUGGUCAAUGGACGGAAGUCUGAACCAGCCAUGCCGCGUGCAGGAAGACGGCCCUAUGGGUUGUAAACUGCUUUUGUACGGGAAUAAACCUUCGGUCGUGACCGAAGCUGAAUGUACUGUAAGAAUAAGGAUCGGCUAACUCCGUGCCAGCAGCCGCGGUAAUACGGAGGAUCCAAGCGUUAUCCGGAUUUAUUGGGUUUAAAGGGUGCGUAGGUGGCUUUUUAAGUCAGGGGUGAAAGACGGCAGCUUAACUGUCGCAGUGCCUUUGAUACUGAAGAGCUUGAAUGAACUAGAGGUAGGCGGAAUGUGACAAGUAGCGGUGAAAUGCAUAGAUAUGUCACAGAACACCAAUUGCGAAGGCAGCUUACUAUGGUUUGAUUGACACUGAGGCACGAAAGCGUGGGGAUCAAACAGGAUUAGAUACCCUGGUAGUCCACGCCCUAAACGAUGAAUACUCGAUGUUGGCGAUAUACGGUCAGCGUCUAAGCGAAAGCGUUAAGUAUUCCACCUGGGGAGUACGCCCGCAAGGGUGAAACUCAAAGGAAUUGACGGGGGCCCGCACAAGCGGAGGAGCAUGUGGUUUAAUUCGAUGAUACGCGAGGAACCUUACCCGGGCUUGAAAGUUAGUGAAUGUGACAGAGACGUCACGGUUCUUCGGGACACGAAACUAGGUGCUGCAUGGCUGUCGUCAGCUCGUGCCGUGAGGUGUUGGGUUAAGUCCCGCAACGAGCGCAACCCCUAUGUUUAGUUGCCAGCAUGUAAUGAUGGGGACUCUAAACAGACUGCCUAUGCAAAUAGAGAGGAAGGAGGGGACGACGUCAAGUCAUCAUGGCCCUUACGUCCGGGGCUACACACGUGCUACAAUGGGCAGUACAGAGGGCAGCUACCUGGUAACAGGAUGCCAAUCUCCAAAAGCUGUUCACAGUUCGGAUCGGGGUCUGCAACUCGACCCCGUGAAGUUGGAUUCGCUAGUAAUCGCGUAUCAGCAAUGACGCGGUGAAUACGUUCCCGGGCCUUGUACACACCGCCCGUCAAGCCAUGGAAGCUGGAAAUGCCUGAAGUGCGUAACCGCAAGGAGCGUCCUAGGGUAAAGUCGGUAACUGGGGCU